UACAUAAAUAAACAUAAUAUUCAUUACAUGAUACCUAUAAAAUUGGAUGUUAUUUUUCAACAUCAUUGGCCAAUAUCUCACUGUCUUAAUAAAAAGAUAUCCAAAAAAAAUAAGAUGACCAUCCUAAUGUUACAUGAAUGUCACAAAUUACACUUAGCACUUAAAGAUAGAAUAAUCUAAAAUAUUAAUAGAUAACUAAAUUGC
rnacentral:lncRNA from 1 species